CCAGUCACUAGAGGCUGAAAUAGAUAAUGAGAUGCAGGCUGAUCUAGAGACAGCCGGCCCAUCCCAUGUACAGGAGCCACACCAGACUUCUCUACUCAACCCUGGAGACCUGGAACUGGAGGAUACUGAUGUGACCUUCACCACCACGCCCACGCCCCCCCCCAGGCUGCAACAUCCCAGAACAGCCUUGUCAGGCUGCAAAGAAGCUCCCCAGACCUCUGCACCUUUGUGCGGGACAUGACUGAUGACCACUGGAAUCUGCUGAGUGAGAAUAUGCUGGCCAACAUGAGUUAAACAGGUUAGUCCUACCAGAUGAAUUCCCCACAAGGAGCCUUCACCCAGCUGAUGGCAACGCUGAUGUGAUGCCUCCCUCUGCUGGAGUUGAAAAGAAGAGCAAGAAGUGGCGUUUCCUAUUAAAAAUGCCUAACAUCCCGAAGAUCAGGAUCAAGGUGUUCAAGAGAAAAGGGCAAGCCAAGAAGCACCCAGAACUGGAUGCGCUGCCAACAAAACGUUUCAGUGUUAUGUCACUGAAUGCUGAAUGUGAGGUUCCAGAGGUUCCUUCCACUUCCUCACCCAUGGAGGACCUGAUACCUGCACCUACUGCACAGGAUCCCCAGUCCCGUAAAUGCCCCCUUGUGGUUAGGGUGUUCCGGGCCAUCACAAGCCCCUUCAGAGGAGCU